rnacentral:rRNA from 1 species
UACGGGGGGGGGCAAGCGUUGUUCGGAAUUACUGGGCGUAAAGGGCUCGUAGGCGCCAACUAAGUCAGACGUGAAAUCCCCUCGGCUUAACCGGGGAACUGCGUCUGAUACUGGUUGGCUUGAAUCCGGGAGAGGGAUGUGGAAUUCCAGGUGUAGCGGUGAAAUGCGUAGAUAUCUGGAGGAACACCGGUGGCGAAGGCGGCAUCCUGGACCGGUAUUGACGCUGAGGAGCGAAAGCCAGGGGAGCAAAGCGGG